GACGAACGCUGGCGGCGCGCUUAACACAUGCAAGUCGUACGGUAAGGCCCUUUCGGGGGUGCACGAGUGGCGCACGGGUGAGUAACACGUGGGUAACCUGCCCACAACUUUGGGAUAACGCUAGGAAACUGGUGCUAAUACUGGAUAUGUGCUCCUGCUGCAUGGUGGGGGUUGGAAAGCUCCGGCGGUUGUGGAUGGACUCGCGGCCUAUCAGCUUGUUGGUGGGGUAGUGGCCUACCAAGGCGGCGACGGGUAGCCGGCCGGAGAGGGUGACCGGCCACAUUGGGACUGAGAUACGGCCCAGCCUCCUACGGGAGGCAGCAGUGGCGAAUACUGCACAAUGGGCGCAAGCCUGAUGCAGAAACGCCGCGUGCGGGAGGACGGUCUUCGGGUUGUAAAACGCUUUCAGCAGGGACGAAGCUUUUUGUGACGGUACCUGCAGAAGAAGCACCGGCUAACUACGUG
rnacentral:rRNA from 1 species